GGUGAGAGAGAGAGAGAGAGAGAGAGAGAGAGAGAGAGAGAGAGGUAGGUUCGUUACGUACGUUCGUUUGUUAGUAGUACGUACCUAAACCGAAAACCGAAAACCAAAAAACGUAAAAGGUUAAACGUUACGNNNNNNNNNNNNNNNNNNNNNNNNNNNNNNNGAGAGAGAGAGAGGUGUUUCCAGCCUUGUUUGAUAGCUCCAAAACGCCAAAACAAAAGUAAGUUCAUGGAUGAGAUUCGAGUUGUGUCAAUGGAGAAGAAGAGAUGUUAGACGAUGAAGUGGAGUUCCGCACCUUUGUAUCACGGGCGUUUAAUUCUCGUUUGCCGGAGAGAUGAAGAAUCCAAGGAAACAAGCAACGAGUGCUGUCUCCUACAGAUAAGGAUGACGAACCUUGUCAUGUCAAAAGCAAAUCGUAAGAGUGAGUGGUCCCUCUCAGUGACCAAACUCCCAUAUCAUCAACACAGUAAAAGAAUAGGCGAACAUUGACUCUUCAGCUCUCUGUUGUUAUUGGCGAGAGAUUUUUUCUAUCCACCCCCCUCCUCAUGCGAGCACACUCUUCUUUUCCGGUGAACAGGGAACCAAAGUAAGGGCUAUCAGGUGCAGAUUUUUACAUGUGUUUUCCUGCUAAUAUUACCAAUUAAUUUUCAAGCUGGAAGCAGUUGAUAUCAUAAAGUUCAGACAGUACAUGAAAUUUUCCAUCAAAGGAU
rnacentral:lncRNA from 1 species